ACAUCAUGGUGCGGGCAUUUUCUUAACAUUGCUUUUAAUCUUUCCCAAGCUUGAUAAAUUGACUCAGUAUCAGUCUGUAAGAAAUUACAUAUUACUUGCCUUAAUUU
rfam:Nicotiana attenuata strain TT chromosome 8, whole genome shotgun sequence.